rnacentral:RNase_P_RNA from 1 species
CCAGCAGACCGGGCGAUCGCUUCGAUUUGAUCGGAGAGGAAGGUCCGAGCUCCUCCGGGCAGCGCACUGGGUAACGCCCAGGCGCCGACUGCGCAAGCAGCCGGGGACGGAAAGUGGCACAGAAACAUACCCCCCGACUUGUCGGGGAAGGGUGAAAUGGCGGGGCAAGAGCCCACCGGCGGUAGUGCGAGCUACCGGCCGGCCAAACCCUGCGCGGAGCAAGGCCAAAUAGGAGGGUGCCAAGGGUGCCCGGCCCAAACCCUCGGGUUGGCCGCUUGAGGCCCUGAGCAAUCCGGGUCCCAGAUUGAUGAUCGUCCUCCCCGACUCGUCGGGGAGACAGAACUCGGCCUACAGGUCUGCUGGACUU